GGAUGUGAGGGCGAUCUGGCUGCGACAUCUGUCACCCCAUUGAUCGCCAGGGUUGAUUCGGCUGAUCUGGCUGGCUAGGCGGGUGUCCCCCUCCUCCCUCACCGAUCCAUGUGCUUCCCUCCCGAAGCUGCGUGCUCGGUCGAAGAGGAUGACCUUCCCCCCCGAGGAGAGGACCGGUCUUCGGUCAAGGGUAUACGAGUAGCUGCGCUCCCCUGCUAGAACCUCCAAACAAGCUCUCAAGAAGCCAAUUACAAAGACCAAACUAUAUGAUUCCUUCAUAUGAAAGGUCCAGAAUAGUAAACUU
rnacentral:snRNA from 1 species